rnacentral:rRNA from 1 species
CAUGUCUUUUUGAUUUUAAUUUAAGGUUUAAUCUGCUCAAUGAUUAUUUAAAUUGCCGCAGUAUUUUAACUGUGCAAAGGUAGCAUAAUAAUUAGUUUCUUGAUUAGGGGCUGGAAUGAAUGAUUUGACGAGAAAAUUACUGUCUCUUUUUAAUUGAUAAUUGAAUUUUAUUUUUAAGUUAAAAAGCUUAAAUAUUAAUGAAAGACGAGAAGACCCUAUAGAGUUUGAUACUGAUUUUAUAUUAAUUUUUAGUAAUUUAAUUAUAAUAAAGUAUUUAGUUGGGGUGACUUGGAGAUUUAAUUAAUUCUUUAAUUUAUUUAUUGUUGAUAAAUAAAUUCGUUAUCUAUAUUUUUAAAUAUAAUAUAAAUUACCUUAGGGAUAACAGCGUUAUUUUUCUUUAGAGUUCUUAUUAAAAGAAAAGAUUGCGACCUCGAUGUUGGAUUAAAAUUUAUUUUUGGAGUAGUUGCUUUAAAAUUAGGUCUGUUCGACCUUUAAAAUUUUACAUGAUCUGAGUUUAAAUCGGUGUAAGCCAGAUUGGAUUCUAUCUUUAAUAAAAUAUACUAUUUUAGUACGAAAGGACCAAAUAUUUAUUAGAUAUUAAUUGUUAUUUUGGCAGAUUAGUGUGUUUGAUUUAGAAUCAUUUUAAGUAAUUAUUUUACAAAUAAUAUUUGAUUUUAUAUGAUUUGAUUAAGUUAACUUUAUCCUUGGUAUUAUUUGUAAUUUUAAUUUUAAUUGGAGUUGCUUUCUUUACAUUAUUAG